rnacentral:rRNA from 1 species
GCUACGGGUGGCAGCAGUGAGGAAUAUUGGUCAAUGGGCGCGAGCCUGAACCAGCCAAGUAGCGUGAAGGAUGACUGCCCUCCGGGUUGUAAACUUCUUUUAUAAAGGCAUAAAGUGAGGCACGUGUGCCUUUUUGUAUGUACUUUAUGAAUCAGGCUCGGCUAACUCCGUGCGAGCCGCAGCGGUAAUACGGAGGAUCCGAGCGUUAUCCGGAUUUAUUGGGUUUAAAGGGAGCGUAGAUGGGGUGUUAAGUCAGUUGUGAAAGUGUGCGGCUCAACCGUAAAAGUGCAAUUGAUACUGGCAGUCUUGAGUACAGUUGAGGUAGGCGGAAUUCGUGGUGUAGCGGUGAAAUGCGUAGAUAUCACGAAGAACUCCGAUUGCGAAGGCAGCUUACUAAACUGCCACUGACAUUGAUGCUCGAAAGUGUGGGUAUCAAACAGGAUUAGAUACCCGUGUAGUC